rnacentral:lncRNA from 1 species
GGGGACCUUCAUAGAGGAAGGAUCGGAUGAUGAGGUCUUUUUGGUGGAAGAAAGACAGCUUGAACUGAAGGCAAAUUUGGGCUUAGCUACUGGUACCAGGCAUGUUCCUGUAGUGAAACAAGCUCAGGUGCACUGCAUUUUCCUCUGCCUUCAGCUGAAGGCGAGCACUUCUUGCACCGCUGUAUUUCUAGGCCAGAAGAGCAGCCCAGUUUGGUGAGCCGGCAUUUCCCUGCAGCAGGAUGUGCCUUAGAGUCAAGAUGACAUCAUGCUGCACUCUGGCUGAAAAGACAUCCCAGUGCCUGGAGCAACACAGUCCUUUCUGUCCAUUACUGCUGGAAAUUCUGCCAGGGAAUUUCACUUUUAGAAUACAAAUAACUGCAGCCUUCAGUGCCUUUGAAGGGGACGGCCUUGCUGCUCUUCCCUUGCUCUUUUAUGGACUUACUUGGCAGAUGAAAGUUAUCUCCAUCAAGGAAAUAGUCUUGGGUUUGGCCACUUUUGAUUUGUAAUGUAUUUGAUAUUGUUUAUAACACUGCUAAAUAAACAGAAUGAUUACCAUGGAUUUGACUCCCUCUAAAACAGAAGGAAAUACUGUGUUACAUGGAAAUACAUGUAAUUUACGUUUAAUAAUUAGUACUUAUUAUGCAG